rnacentral:rRNA from 1 species
UACGUAGGUGGCAAGCGUUACUCGGAAUCACUAGGCGUAAAGCGCAGGUAGGUGGCUAGGUAAGUUUCUUGUGAAAGCUCCCGGCUUAACUGUGAGAGUCCAAGGAAUACUGUCUGGCUGGAGUAUGGUAGGGGUAACUGGAAUUCCCGGUGUAGCGGUGAAAUGCGUAGAUAUCGGGAGGAAUACCUAUGGCGAAGGCAGGUUACUGGGCCAUUACUGACACUGAGCUGCGAAAGCGAGGGGAGCAAACAGG